AUGGCCACAAAUAUCCGGCGCACGGCUUUGCGGCCGGACAAGGUGCCCUUCCCUUUGACUGCAGGACCGCGUACAUGCCCCCAAAGUCCCAAUGUCAGGACCACAUUUAAUGGCCGAGCUCACGUGACGCAGAAAUACAGCAACGCAGUCCCAUGUUCAAGUCAACGAACCCAAGCUCUUUAUUUACUCAAAACGACGAACGAGACAAGAACAAGAUCCAAAACAGAGGCACAUCAAGAACGUCCAUGGAUCUUGAAUCCAAGAAGCUUCUUGUUGACUAGACUAGACAUGUUUGAACCCAAGAAGCUUCUUGCACGCCUUGAAGAUGUGACCCCUCUUCUUCUUCUUCGUCUCCUUGCCGAUCUCGUCGUUGCUCGCCGCGGCGUCUCCCGGCACCGCGGCCUCCGCCACCUGAUGCUUCUUCUGCCCGUCGACCUCCUCGGGCGCCUCGGCGUCGUCGUCGCCGUCGUCCAGGCCGUCGUGGAUCCGCCAGUACCCCUCCGAGAGGCCGGACGCCGGCUGCCUCCGCAUGGAGAAGGCCCUCCUCACGGCCGCCUGGAAGCCGCCGCCGCGGUGGGCGCCGGUGGACUUGCUCCGCUCCACGGACGCGAACCUCUGGGAGGAGGACGAGAGGUUCCUGACGAUGGCCGCCGCGCCGACCGCCGCCCCCUCCCACUUGCCCUCCUUCGCCGCGGCCGGGGACGGGGCUGGCUGCGGCUCCCCGCCGCCGCUGGGCGCCGGAGGGGACGAGGCGAGGUUGCGGUACCCGUUCAUCCUCCCGCUUCAGUUUCCGCUGCUGCUGCUGCCGCUGCCGCUACGAGUGUACUGAUCUGCGGGCGUGGGGCUUGUGGCGAGGAGGUUCUCAGGUCCGGGAUUUGUACUCGCGUGCGCGGUGGAGUGGAUGCGGCGCGUGCGCGGUGCUCGUCACUCGUCAGCAGCAGCACCGCGGCAGUGGAGAAUGAGAACGGAGGGCGUAGUGCUGUGAGUGUGAGAUCAGCCCCGCCGGCCUUGUCGCGGUGCUGUGUUGGGUUGGGUUUGGGGCGAGCCGUUUCGGUGGGUUGGGGCCCCGCGGGAGCGUCCAAUUUGACCGCCGCGUGGGCUCCGGCCACGGGGUUUCGUGACGCCAAUUCGUAUCCAGGGGAAUUGCUGCGCUACAAUCUAGUGCAUAUGGAUUCUUUGUCGCCUUGA
rnacentral:rRNA from 1 species